CAGUCGCCGCGGUAAUACAGAGGGUGCGAGCGUUAAUCGGAUUUACUGGGCGUAAAGCGUGCGUAGGCGGCUUCUUAAGUUGGAUGUGAAAUCCCUGAGCUUAACUUAGGAAUUGCAUUCGAUACUGGGAAGCUAGAGUAUGGGAGAGGAUGGUAGAAUUCCAGGUGUAGCGGUGAAAUGCGUAGAGAUCUGGAGGAAUACCGAUGGCGAAGGCAGCCAUCUGGCCUAAUACUGACGCUGAGGUACGAAAGCAUGGGGAGCAAACAGGAUUAGAUACCCCCGUAGUCCCUGUCUCUUAUAC
rnacentral:rRNA from 1 species